AAAUACCUUGUGUGUAUGGAGGAUUCCUCUCUCUUAGCAAACUGCCUUAUACAUACACACACUCACAAAAAACAGCCUUAUACAUAUAAACACUCACAACGCCUAAUACACACACACACACACACACACAAAGUGCCUUAUACAUUCAUGGAAACAAAAUGCCUAAUACACAUAUACAGAAACAUACGAAUACAUACAUACACCAAAACAUAAAAACUGCAUCAUACUCACAAACUCUUCCUAAUACAUAUACACACACUGCCUAAUGCAUACACUUACACUCUGCCUAAUACUGCAGACUGACACUAACACUGACCCACACACAUACACACACUGAUCCAUACACAGGCUCACACACACACAAGCUACACAUUCCCUGACAGUCACACAGUACAGAAUACCUGCAGCAGCCUUUGCAUACACACAAACAAACACACACUUUCUC